CGGUUGAUCCUGCCGGAGGCUACUGCUAUCAGAGUUCGAUUAAGCCAUGUUAGUCGAGGGGUGGUCAUCAGAUGCUUGCAUCUGAUGGCCAAACCGGCGGACGGCUCAGUAACACGUGGACAACCUACCCUUGGGUCCGGGAUAACCCCGGAAAACUGGGGCUAAUACCGGAUGGGACAUCGCUUGCUGGAAUGCAGGAUGUCCGAAAGCUGAGGCGCCCAAGGAUGGGUCUGCGGCCGAUUAGGUAGUUGUUGAUGUAACGGAUCAACAAGCCUACGAUCGGUACGGGUUGUGAGAGCAAUAGCCCGGAGAUGGGUUCUGAGAAAAGAACCCAGGUCCUACGGGACGCAUCAGGCGCGAAAACUUUACAAUGUGCGAAAGCACGAUAAGGGAACUCUGAGUGCCUCCUAAGGAGGCUGUUCAGGUGCCUAAAAAGCACCUGGAGUAAGGGCUGGGUAAGACCGGUGCCAGCCGCCGCGGUAACACCGGCAGCCCAAGUGGUAGCCACUUUUAUUGGGUCUAAAGCGUCCGUAGCCGGUUGAGUAAGUUCCUUGGGAAAUUUGGCUGCUUAACAGUCAAGCUUCCAGGGAAUACUGCUCGACUUGGGACUGGGAGAGGUCAGAGGUACUCCAGGGGUAGGGGUGAAAU
rnacentral:rRNA from 1 species